rnacentral:rRNA from 1 species
GGACGACGCUGGCGGCGUGCCUAACACAUGCAAGUCGAGCGAGAAGCUUAUGAACGAGCCUUCGGGCAAGUGAUUAAGUGGAAAGCGGCGGACGGGUGAGUAACGCGUGAGUAAUCUGCCUUAAGGAGGGGGAUAACACAGAGAAAUCUGUGCUAAUACCGCAUAACAUAUAUCUUUCGCAUGUUAGAUAUAUCAAAACUCCGGUGCCUUAAGAUGAGCUCGCGUCCGAUUAACUAGUUGGUGAGGUAAUGGCUCACCAAGGUUACGAUCGGUAGCCGGACUGAGAGGUUGAACGGCCACAUUGGAACUGAGACACGGUCCAGACUCCUACGGGAGGCAGCAGUGGGGAAUAUUGGGCAAUGGGCGCAAGCCUGACCCAGCAACGCCGCGUGAAGGAAGAAGGCCUUCGGGUUGUAAACUUCUUUUACCAGGGACGAACACAAUGACGGUACCUGGAGAAAAAGCAACGGCUAACUACGUG